GGGUGGCCUGUAAGAGGACACUUAGGGUUUGUCCCUAAGUGACACCAGACAAGAGGAGGAGUCUAGGACCUGUCUUUCAGAGGGAUCCAAAAGCUGUGGUCCAGGAAACCCAAAAUUGUUCCUUUGUAACUUCCACUGGGGACUGCAGAAGGGUCAGCAGCAAAAUCUGAAAGGCUUCCGAGGCGAUCGAGCAACGUCAGUCUUCAGCUGCUAAGCCGAGAAGAUCUGGGAAGGAGUCAGUCAGAGAGCCUUGGGCCAGAGUUCCAGGGGCUCUGGGAGUGGCUGCCAGGUGAGUUGAACAGUCCGAUUUCCAGUGGGGUCCCCCACAGAUGGGACACGGCUUAGGAGGAAUCCCGGGCUGCGGGCAUUCCUUGGCCUGGUGGCCAGAUUUCUGGCACUUGUAGCAAGCGCCUGGGGGAGGCAGUUCUGGAGGAAUGCCUGGCCACUGCGGUUUAGGCGUUUGGAAGUUCUUGUGUGCUGGAGAUGUGGCUGGGGUUUGUCUCACAGUGGAGGCAAGGAAUUGCAACUCAGAAAUAUGUUGCUAGUUGGCUGCCUAUACUCUAUUAUUGUACACCUUGAAGGUGAGGUUAAUUAAGUCCUGUUGUGGGGUUUGAGGGCCGGAAUUUAAUUUUUGGAGUUUUAUUUAAUGUUGGGAGCAGAUUGGGUAAUAAAAUGUAUAUUGAGAAUAAGACGGCCUUUUGACCUUUUAGGGUCUAGGGCUGUAAAACGUCUCAGGGUUGCUGCCAAACGAGUCAGGAACUGGGCUGGAUUUUUAUAUUUGAUGAGAAAGAGCCUAAACGCUAUCUGAUCUGGAAUAAAGAAAAAGGAGCAUUGACCUUGACUAUGACUUUAGCUCCAGCCACCUUUUUAAGAGUAAAUUGCUGGGCAGGUGGGGGAGGGCUAGUCAUGGAACGAAACUGUAAGCUGGACCAGGUGUGAGGAGGGGAGGUGAUAAAAGGAUUAUAGGGUGGAGGAGCAGAGGCUGAGGAAGAAUUGGGACCUAGCUCGGCCUGGUGAGGAGGGGAGAGGUCAGAUAGGUCUGUAGAAAAUGAAGAUUAGAAAGACUCAGUGAUGCUUGGGGUUGGGACUGAGGGGACAGGUGGGAGGGAAAGAAGGAAGAUUUGGGACGAGUUGCAUUGGGAACAGAGGCUAGGGAGUGACUGAUGUGUAAAAGAAUGCCUGGAUGUCAGGCACCUCAGACCAUUUGCCCAUUUUACGACAAGAAUUAUUUAAAUCUUGUAGGAUGGAAAAAAUGGAAAUGCCGUUUUCUGGCUAUUUGGAACUACUGUCGAGUUUGUAUUGGGGUCAAGCGGCAUUGCAGAAGAAAAUAAGGCAUUUAGGUUUUAGGUCAGGUGUGAGUUGAAGAGGUUUUAAGUUCUUGAGAACACAGGCUAAGGGAGAAGAAGGAGGAAUGGAGGGUGGAAAUUUGCCCAUAGUGAAGGAAGCAAGCCCAGAGAAAAGAGAGAGUAGAGACACGGAGGGAAGGGGUUCGGGGGUUCUUACCCUCCAGAAAAAUGGGAAAGGGGUUGGGGUGUGGAAAUAAGGGGUCAGGGCACAGAGAUAAGAGGUGGGGCAUGGAAAUAAGGGAUCAGGGCAAAGAGAUAAGAGGUCGGGGCAUGGAAAUAAGGGAUCAGGGUGCAGAGUUAAGAGGUUGGGGCAUGGAAAUAAGGGAUUGGGGCACAGAGAUAAGAGGUCAGGGUGUGGAAAUAAGGGAUUGGGGGUUCCUGACCCCUAGAAAAGUGGGACUUGCCGCUAAGGUUAAAGGAGAAGAGGUUGAGGGGUUCUUGCCCCUCCCCCAGAAAAGCAGAGAAGGGGUAGAGACAAGGAGAGAAGGGGUUGGGGUACUUGCCCUUCCCCCAGAAAAGCAGGACUUGCCACUAAGGGUGAAGGACCAAGGCAGGCGUCCCUGCAUGGUCUGACACCUCUGAAACGUGGGUGAAUAAUCAGAGAGGCAUCCCUGCAAUGAUUAAACACCAAGGGAAGGCUGCCUUCCCAGUCCGUGACCGGCGCCGGAGUUUUGGGUCCAUGGAUAAAACGUGUCUCCUUUGUCUCUACCAGAAAAUGAAAGGAAUUGAAAUUAAGAGAAGGCAGAGAUUGAAGUGUGGCGCCAAGAUUGAAAGGAGAAAGAGGUUGAGGGAUAGUGAGGGAGGUUGGAGAAGAGAGUAAAAAGAGGCCGCUUACUGGAUUUGAAAUUGGUGAGAUGUUUCUUGGGCUGGUCGGUCUGAGGACCUGAGGUCGUAGGUGGGUCUUUCUCAACAGAGCAAAGAGCAGGAGGACAGGGGAUUGAUCUCCCACAAGAGGUCCCCCGAUCCGAGUCACGGUACCAAAUUUCAUGCGUGUCCGUGUGAAGAGACCACCAAACAGGCUUUGUGUGAGCAAUAAAGAUAUUAAUCACCUGGGUGCAGGCG
rnacentral:lncRNA from 1 species